rnacentral:rRNA from 1 species
AGCGUAGGUGGCUCGAUAAGUCAGAUGUGAAAUCCCCGGGCUUAACCUGGGAACUGCAUCUGAAACUGUUGAGCUAGAGUAUGUGAGAGGAAGGUAGAAUUCCAGGUGUAGCGGUGAAAUGCGUAGAGAUCUGGAGGAAUACCGAUGGCGAAGGCAGCCUUCUGGCAUAAUACUGACACUGAGGCUCGAAAGCGUGGGUAGCAAACA